UCUGAAUCUUAGUGAUGGAAGAAUUUGUUGAGGGACAUACUGUACGAGCCUUGAGAGUAAUGGAGCAUGGAGGACAAAGUGAAGAGGCAGCUUUUUCCCAAACCCACUUUCAAAUGGUGCAACCACUAGACUGAUCCAGUAUAAAACUUGCUCAAAAGUUUAUGAAGUUUCAAUAAACUGAAACAGGGUCCCCUGGAGUGAGCAUGCAUUUGACAGAGGCAGGUAGGUAAAUUACAGUACAGUGAUGGAAUUGCAGAGAAGCCCUGGUCUUGGCACUUUCCGAACCUGAGAUUGUUUCCAAAGACUUGAAUUGGUCGUGAUUGCAGUGAGCUGCAGUUCCCACAGGUGCUUCCUGUGGCCCACAGGAAGUCCUCUGUUUCAUGUGAAGUUUUAAACUUUUGUACUGGAUAGAUGACCUCUUCAUAGGUCAUAUUACUUGGUUAUUUUCAACUUGCUGUUCAGAUUUAACUAUGUUACUCGAUAUUCCCUGGUAAAUCAACUGCUUAUUCAUUUAAAAACAUAAUUGCAUAGCAGUACAGGAAUGCUAUUUCUAAUAAAGUUGUGCUCAUAAUCAC